CCGGGGUAGGAGGUAACGCGUGAGGAACCUGCCUCAAAGAGGGGGACAACAGUUGGAAACGACUGCUAAUACCGCAUAAGCCCACGGCUCGGCAUCGAGCAGAGGGAAAAGGAGCAAUCCGCUUUGAGAUGGCCUCGCGUCCGAUUAGCUGGUUGGUGAGGUAACGGCCCACCAAGGCGACGAUCGGUAGCCGGACUGAGAGGUUGAACGGCCACAUUGGGACUGAGACACGGCCCAG
rnacentral:rRNA from 1 species